UACAGAGGUCUCAAGCGUUGUUCGGAUUCAUUGGGCGUAAAGGGUGCGUAGGUGGCGCGGUAAGUCGGGUGUGAAAUUUUCGGAGCUUAACUCCGAAACUGCAUUCGAUACUGCCGUGCUUGAGGACUGGAGAGGAGACUGGAAUUUACGGUGUAGCAGUGAAAUGCGUAGAGAUCGUAAGGAAGACCAGUGGCGAAGGCGGGUCUCUGGACAGUUCCUGACACUGAGGCACGAAGGCCAGGGGAGCAAACGGG
rnacentral:rRNA from 1 species